rnacentral:rRNA from 1 species
UACGAAGGGGGCUAGCGUUGUUCGGAAUCACUGGGCGUAAAGCGCACGCAGGCGGAUUGAUAAGUCAGGGGUGAAAUCCCGGAGCUCAACUUCGGAAUUGCCUUUGAUACCGUCUGUCUUGAGUCCGGGAGAGGUGAGUGGAAUUCCUAGUGUAGAGGUGAAAUUCGUAGAUAUUAGGAAGAACACCAGUGGCGAAGGCGGCUCACUGGCCCGGUACUGACGCUCAUGUGCGAAAGCGUGGGGAGCAAACAGG